AGGGAGAAGGUGCAGACUCCAUACACAUAGCAGCUGAGGUUAGGAUCAACCCCAGGUCUCAGGCACUGUGAGGCAGCAGCUCAACCAGCUGCACCACUGC